UCUGAAAUCAAGUGGGAUUCCCCGCUGAACUUAAGCAU
rnacentral:rRNA from 1 species